rnacentral:rRNA from 1 species
AUUGAACGCUGGCGGCAUGCUUUACACAUGCAAGUCGAACGGUAACAGGCCGCAAGGUGCUGACGAGUGGCGAGCGGGUGAGUAAUGCAUCGGAACGUACCCGAUCGUGGGGGAUAACGAAGCGAAAGCUUUGCUAAUACCGCAUAAGAUCUACGGAUGAAAGCAGGGGACCGCAAGGCCUUGCGCGAACGGAGCGGCCGAUGGCAGAUUAGGUAGUUGGUGGGAUAAAAGCUUACCAAGCCGACGAUCUGUAGCUGGUCUGAGAGGACGACCAGCCACACUGGGACUGAGACACGGCCCAGACUCCUACGGGAGGCAGCAGUGGGGAAUUUUGGACAAUGGGCGAAAGCCUGAUCCAGCCAUGCCGCGUGCAGGAUGAAGGCCUUCGGGUUGUAAACUGCUUUUGUACGGAACGAAAAGACUCUUUCUAAUAAAGAGGGUCCAUGACGGUACCGUAAGAAUAAGCACCGGCUAACUACGUGCCAGCCGCCGCGGUAA